CCUUGCCUCUCCUCCCAUGGUUUUAUUUCCAAAACAAAUGCCUCUUUGUAUUGUUGUCCUUAAGAUGUUAGUUACUCUUAUUAGUUCUGUGCGAUGACGUGAUCCGCCAUAGAUGAUCUUGGACACUUGCUGUAAUCAUCGAAAGAAGAUAACUAUUUACAUAACAUGUCUCACUUGAUUGCGCUUGACAUUUUUUACUUUUUCUCCAAAAAUUAGCACGUUUGUAUC